CAGCCGCCGCGGGAAUACGAAGGGUGCAAGCGUUAAUCGGAAUUACUGGGCGUAAAGCGUGCGCAGGCGGUUUGUUAAGACAGAUGUGAAAUCCCCGGGCUCAACCUGGGAACUGCAUUUGUGACUGGCAAGCUAGAGUGUGGCAGAGGGGGGUGGAAUUCCGCGUGUAGCAGUGAAAUGCGUAGAUAUGCGGAGGAACACCGAUGGCGAAGGCAGCCCCCUGGGCCAAUACUGACGCUCAUGCACGAAAGCGUGGGGAGCAAACAGGAUUAGAUACCCCUGUAGUCCCUGUCUCUUAUAC
rnacentral:rRNA from 1 species